rnacentral:rRNA from 1 species
UUCCGGUUGAUCCUGCCGGAGGCUACUGCUAUUGGGAUUCGACUAAGCCAUGCGAGUCAAGGUGUCUUCGGACGCCGGCGUACGGCUCAGUAACACGUAGGUAACCUACCCUCAAGACUGAGAUAACCCCGGGAAACUGGGGCUAAUAUUAGAUAGAUAAAAGAUACUGGAAUGUUCUUUUAUCCAAAGCUUUUGCGCUUGAGGAUGGGCUUGCGUCCGAUUAGGUUGUUGGUGGGGUAAUGGCCCACCAAGCCUACGAUCGGUACGGGCAGUGAGAGCUGAAGCCCGGAGUUGGGGACUGAGACAAGGCCCCAGGCCCUACGGGGCGCAGCAGGCGCGAAACCUCUGCAAUGCGGGAAACCGUGACAGGGGGAUCCCAAGUGCUCAUGCAUUGCAUGGGCUGUUCUUUGGUCUAAGUAACCAGAGGAGUAAGAGCUGGGCAAGACCGGUGCCAGCCGCCGCGGUAAUACCGGCAGCUCAAGUGGUAGCCGCGAUUAUUGGGCCUAAAGCGUUCGUAGCCGGAUAAGUAAGUCUUUGGUUAAAUCCUGCGACUUAACCGUGGGAAAUCUAGAGAUACUGCUUGUCUUGAGACCGGGAGAGGUUGGAGGUACUCCCAGGGUAGGGGUGAAAUCCUGUAAUCCUGGGGGGACCACCUGUGGCGAAGGCGUCCAACUGGAACGGGUCUGACGGUGAGGGACGAAACCUAGGGGAGCGAGCCGGAUUAGAUACCCGGGUAG